UUGCACGCUGGCGGCAGGCCUAACACAUGCAAGUCGAGCGGAUGAAGGGAGCUUGCUCCUGGAUUCAGCGGCGGACGGGUGAGUAAUGCCUAGGAAUCUGCCUGGUAGUAGGGGAUAACGUCCGGAAACGGGCGCUAAUACCGCAUACGUCCUGAGGGAGAAAGUGGGGGAUCUUCGGACCUCACGCUAUCAGAUGAGCCUAGGUCGGAUUAGCUAGUUGGUGGGGUAAAGGCCUACCAAGGCGACGAUCCGUAACUGGUCUGAGAGGAUGAUCAGUCACACUGGAACUGAGACACGGUCCAGACUCCUACGGGAGGCAGCAGUGGGGAAUAUUGGACAAUGGGCGAAAGCCUGAUCCAGCCAUGCCGCGUGUGUGAAGAAGGUCUUCGGAUUGUAAAGCACUUUAAGUUGGGAGGAAGGGCAGUAAGUUAAUACCUUGCUGUUUUGACGUUACCAACAGAAUAAGCACCGGCUAACUUCGUG
rnacentral:rRNA from 1 species